rnacentral:lncRNA from 1 species
UCCCGCUUAACAUUUGAGAAACCACAACAAAGGUCCAGAUUUCAUCUUACUUAAUCUAAUGGUCAGAUCUCAUUACAGACAAAAAAAAAACCGCCCAAAUCAGACUAAGCCUCCUUCCCGUGUACUCUACUGUCUCCUUCCCUUCAAAAUUCCCCCAAAUCAAAAUUAGCCUUCUUCCAAAAACUAUACCUACUCCCGUUCUCCCAUUCCCUUCCAACGCUACUCGGUGCUCAAGCGACGGCGCCGGCGAUGGCAAUCGGAGGUUGACGGCGCCGACGGCACACAGUAAUGGUUCAGUUAAAAUUUAAAUUUCGUGCCCUGUAAAUUAACUGUUCAAUUCGUGAACGGCGCCGACUGUUGAUUGCUUCAUUUUUUGGUUUCUUUUGAAUACAGAAACUUCAGUGGGUGAUGUUCAAUUGGUUUCUUUUGAAUACAGAAACUUCGUGAACGGCGCCGACUGUUCAAUUCGUUAACUCCUCUUCUCUCUCUCCUCUCACAAACCCACCUUCCAAAAGACUCUCACUCUGCAUCCCCAAAGUUUCUGCCAAN